AGAGUUUGAUCCUGGCUCAGAAUCAACGCUGGCGGCGUGCCUAACACAUGCAAGUCGAACGAGAAAGUGGAGCAAUCCAUGAGUACAGUGGCGAACGGGUGAGUAACACGUGACUAACCUGCCUUCGAGUGGGGGAUAACCUCGGGAAACCGGGGCUAAUACCGCAUAACAUCCUCAGGGUGCAAUUCCCAGGGGACCAAAGGGGUAAGACGCUUGAAGAGGGGGUCGCGGCUGAUUAGCUAGUUGGUGAGGUAAUGGCUCACCAAGGCGAAGAUCGGUAGCCGGCCUGAGAGGGCACACGGCCACACUGGCACUGAAACACGGGCCAGACUCCUACGGGAGGCAGCAGUGGGGAAUCUUGCACAAUGGGGGAAACCCUGAUGCAGCGACGCCGCGUGAGCGAUGAAGCCCUUCGGGGUGUAAAGCUCUUUCGGCAGGGAAGAUUAUGACGGUACCUGCAGAAGCAGCUGCGGCUAACUACGUGCCAGCAGCCGCGGUAAUACGUAGGCAGCAAGCGUUGUUCGGAGUUACUGGGCGUAAAGGGUGUGUAGGUGGCCUGUUAAGUUCCGUGUGAAAUCUCCCGGCUCAACCGGGAGGGUGCGCGGAAAACUGGCGGGCUAGAGUACGGGAUGGGAGAGUAGAAUUCCUGGUGUAGCGGUGAAAUGCGUAGAUAUCANGAGGAAUACCGGUGGUU
rnacentral:rRNA from 1 species